UACGUAGGGUGCGAGCGUUAAUCGGAAUUACUGGGCGUAAAGCGUGCGCAGGCGGUUCGUUAAGUCUGAUGUGAAAGCCCCGGGCUCAACCUGGGAACUGCAUUGGAAACUGGCGAGCUUGAGUAUGGCAGAGGGGGGUGGAAUUCCGCGUGUAGCAGUGAAAUGCGUAGAGAUGUGGAGGAACACCGAUGGCGAAGGCAGCCCCCUGGGUCAACACUGACGCUCAUGCACGAAAGCGUGGGGAGCAAACAGG
rnacentral:rRNA from 1 species